rnacentral:lncRNA from 1 species
AGGUUUCCUGCCACAGAGGGGCCGCCUCCCCGCUCUGUGAGCUGGGACUCCACCGUGGCCCAAGGGGGCCCCACAGACGCUGGGGAGGUUAUCAGGUGCCCUCAGCCUAGGCCCGCCUGUGCCCAGGAAGGGAAGAAGGGUGUGACUUCGGCGUACUCAGAGGUCUUGGUGGCUCCCCAGAAAAGCCAGAACCAGGCCAGGCCUCUGGCAGUGCGCCCACCCUGCCCUGGGAACCCGGGGGCUGCAGAUCAGAGGAGCAGGGAGCAUAGCCCAGCCCGGUGAGUGAGCUGUCGGGGACCCUGGGCCAGCCUCUUCCCCUUGGCCUCAGUUUCCCUGCGCAUUGAGACCCAGGAGGCAGCUCCUUUAGGACCCUAACCCAAGGGCCCUGGGAAGGGGACGUUUAUUUGUAGUUUGUCUCUGGGCUCGUGGGGCGGGGGGUGUUCCUGCUUUUCUCCCUGGGCUUUGGCUCAAGGGAUGUCCUGGGCUGAGAUGGGACCAGAAUUCUUGGGGCUGCCUGACCUGUGGCUAGAGAGCCUCUGGCCGCAUGUCCAGCUCUGGGAGUCUGUCCUUCUCUCUGUCCACUUGUGAGUCAUCCCAGCUUCCCAUGUCUGUUAAAGUGGGUCCUAACUUGGCACAGGUUCAUUCUUGGGGCUGCCCUCUGGACUGGUCAGGAUAGGAAGCCACAGGCACGCCUGGUGGGAUGAUCUGACUCGGACCCAGGCCUAGAAACCAGCAUACCCACUUGGGUCUGUGCCUCACAUGUGUAAGCUUGGGGAGGGUGCUUAGCUCUCUGGCAUUAGGGUCCCUGGGGUCACUGGACCAGUUCAGCCUCCACAGAUUACAGAUGGGGAGACCUGCUGUGGGGAUGUCAGGAGACCCAGACCUUCUGAGGGUUGGGCCACAGGGUUUGGGAGAUGCCUAGAGGACAUAGCAUCUCUGAAAAAGAGAUGUAACCCUGAACUUCUAGCACAGUUGGUGCUCUGGGUGCCCUCAGACAGAAAGUUGUCAGGCUGCCCAGGCUGAGAAUCCUGGAGAAUUCUAGGACAAGGGAAGUCAGUCUGGGCAGCCCAAGUCUGGGGUUGGGUCAUUCAUAACUGGGCCUGGGGACACUCGCAGGCACCCUGAGAGCCCUGGUCCACCUGAUCACCUCAGCGCAGCCACUCCUGAGCACCAGGGUCGAGGCUCCAGACCUUGGAGCCUGAGUCCUUGUCCUCAGGAAGAUGCAGUCCAUGUCCAGGGAGGGCUCUGCCCAUGGUCCCUCUGCCUGACAUCCGGCAUCUGCCAGGAGGAUGUGAACCUGUGGGGAGGUGGGGGCUCUUGGGUGGGUGGGGGCAGGAGAUGCACAAGCCCCAGGAGGGAAGAGGCCGAGGCUCAUUUCCACACUUUCAUACCUCCUCAGUCCUCGAAGACAUUCACGCAGAAAUUCAAGAUUUAAAGUCCUCCCCCGACCCCUGCUGGUCUGGGCCACGUGGGUCCAAAGCUGUCUUCUUUUCCUGUGCAGAGGGAAAAUAAACCCACGCCCUCUCCGUGUUGUGCCCCAAGAUCCCACUGGGUGGGAAGGGCCCAGCAGGAGGCAGGAAGGGCAGCGCAGCCUGCAGCUAGCUGACAGAGUCCGGGGAAGCUGCUUCCCUGUCUGUACAUGGGGGAAGGGGAGGGGGUGUGCUCCAUUCAUUCAUGUGUGCAAUUUCACACAGGGAAAGCGAAGCACAGGGAGGUGAAGUGAUUUACCCAAGGUCACACGGCUGGGCACCGGGAACCCAAAUGUAAAAAGAAGGUCAGUGAGGUCAGGCGUGUCCACAGGGGCCUGGGGAGAUUCCCUGGGGGAAGGGACACUUCAGCUGAACCCUGAGGGACGGGGAGGGUUUUGCAAGAUCCCUCGCAAUCCCAGUUGUCUGCGUUGGUGGCUGGAUGUCUGCAGCCAGUGGCAACAAGUGCGUGGGCAGGCACGCGAGGCCAGGCCCUGCCUCCUCCCUGACCCUGGGCAGGGCUGAGCAAGCAUGUUGGGCAACGGUCACGGUUUGUGUCUCACUUUCCCAGGCGGGCCUUGGUGCCGGCUUCCUGAACCAAGGAGUCUCAAAUGGGGUGCCCAGAGCUUCCUUCCCAGGGGGUUGCUUAUGGUGUCACCUGGAUGGGUAUGCCGCCUGGGUGUGUGCGCACCCGCAGGUGCAGGCCUUCAUGGGUGUCUAUAGGCAAGUCUGUUUUGGUCCCAAAGUGUGUGUCUCUCUGUCUACAUGUGUGUCCAAGUGUUGGUGUGUCCUUGUGCCUCUGUGUCGGAGGUCUGGAUGUCUGUGGCCGAAUGUGCAUCUUAUUACAGAUAAAUAUCAGCUGUGUCCCUGGCUCCGUCUCUGCAUGUGUCCCGUGUGGCUAAGACGGGAUCUUGUGCCCACGUGUGCAUGUAUGAGCCCUUGGGGCACGUUUCCGUGUGUGUGUGUGUGUGUGUGUGUGUGUGUUUUGGUCUCUGGCUGUCCGUGUGUGUGUGUACACAUCUGCAUCCUUUGUCUGCACAUGUGUGCCUGUGUGUAUCCUCUUGUCCACUUUCCUUGAAGCCACAUCCCUCAGGGACCCCUGCUUCUCCUGAUGCCAGAAGGCCCAGCUCCCUGCAGCCACCAGAGGAGGGGUGAGCUGUGCUGCCCAAACCCCCCAAGCUCCAGCUCCUCUCUCUGCCCUCUACCCCUGGCUGCUCCACUCCUGCCUCUCCCGUCUGCCUCCUCCCUCUCUGCCCACUUUGUCUCUGUCCCUCCUCUUCUGCCUGUAGCUCAAAGCAAGCCUGUCCCUGCUUUCUGUCCCCUGUGCAUGUACCCCUCAGCCUGGGGUCUCUGCAGUGACCCAGAGAUUGACUCCGGCCCCCAGCCCCAGUGCCCUCCACAGCCCUGGACCCCACACUUCCCAGGGCCCCAGUCAACCCACGGUUGUCCUCCCCUGUGUGGCUACCCUGAACUUCCGGCUGGUCUCCCCGCGUGGGUCUCCCUCUCCCCUGGCUGCAAGAGCAUAUCUUCUCCAGCACAACCUUCCUGUGUUCCCACCUCCCCUGCUCUGCCUUUGACACUCUCGGCCUGGCCCAGCUCUCCUGCCUGCGCUGCCGCUCCAGGCCUCACCUUAUUCUUCUCUCCGCAGACCACGAGUAUCUGCUCCAAGCAGCUUCCAGGCCCUGCCCUGCUGGCACCCUCUGGCCUUUUAAAUUUAGGUGAGCCUCUUCUAAGUUGACUAAUAAGAGCCCUUGGACAGGUGCUAACUAGGCAGUAACAUAGGAGAGGGUGUGGUAAGUCCUCUGACUCUCUCUUGCCUCUUUGUAGCUGAUUCUCUGCUUUCCAGUCCAGUCUCUUGGUUUUCAUAGAGUUGUGUUUUUAAGCUCUGCUUUAAGCUUUUUAAAAAAAAUUAAGAUGAGUUCCUGUUGUUGUGCAGUGGAAAUGAGUCUGACUAGUAUCCGUGAAGGUGCAGGUUCGAUCCCUGGCCUUGCUCAGGGGGUUGGGGAUCUGGCAUUGCCGUGAGCCAUGGUAUAGGUUGCAGAUGUAGCUCAGAUCCUGUGCGGCUGUGGCUGUGGCUGUGGCUGUGGUGUAGGCUGGUAGCUGUGGCUCUGAUUCGACCCCUAGCCUGGGAACUUCCACAUGUCGCAGGUGAGGCCCUAAAAAACAAACAAAAAUUUAAGAUGAAAUUCACGUAAUAUACAGUUAACCAUUUAAAAAUGAAUAGCUACCACUUCACACCAGUCAGAAUGACCAUCAUUAAUAAGUCCACAAAUAACAAAUGCUGGAGAGGGCGUGGAGAAAAGGGACCCCUCUUGCACUGUUGGUAGGAAUGUGAAUUGGUAGAACCACUAUGGAAAACAGUAUGGGGGUACCUUAGAAAACUAUGUAUAGAACUACCACAUGACCCAGCAAUCCCACUCUUGGGCAUAUAUCUGGAUAAAACUUUCCUUGAAAAAGACACAUGCACCCUCAUGUUCAUUGCAGCACUAUUCACAAUAGCCAAGACUUGAAAAUAACCUAAAUGUUCAUCGACAGAUGACUGGAUUAGGAAGAUGUGGUAUAUAUACACAACGGAAUACUACUCAGCCAUAAAAAGAAAAAUUAAUGCCAUUUGCAGCAACAUGGAUGAAACUAGAGACUCAUACUAAGCGAAGUAAGUCAGAAAGAGAAAGGCAAAUACCAUAUGAUGUCACUUAUAUCUGGAAUCUAAUAUAUGACACAAAUGAACCCUUCCAUAGAAAAGAAAAUCGUAGACUUGGAGAACAGACUUGUGCUUGCCAAGGGGGAGGGGAAGGAAUGGGAUGGACUAGGAAUUUGGGGUUAAUAGAUGCAAACUAUGGCUUUGGAAUGGAUAAGCAAUGAAAUCCUGCUGUAUAGCAGUGGGAACUAUAUCUAGUCACUUAGGAUGGAGCAUGAUAAUGUGAGAAAAAGGAAUGUGUAUGUGUGACUGGGUCACUUUGCUGUACAGUAGAAAAUUGGCAGAAUGCUGUAAACCAGCUAUAAUGGGAAAAAAUUAAAAUCAUUAAAAAAUAAAAGUGAAUAGCUAGCUAGCUCAGGGGUAUUUAGCACAUUCACAGUGUUGCGCAACCAUCACCUCUCUCUGGUUCCAAAACAUUUUCAUCACCCCAAAGGAAACCUCGUACCCAGUAGUUGUCACUUCCCAUUCCCCCUCCCCCACGCCCUGGCAAUCACCAAUCUGUCUCUAUGAAUUUCCCUAUUCUGGACUUUUAUUUUUUUUAAUUUAUUUAUUUUAUUUUUUAUUUUAUUUAUGUAUUUAUUUUUUGGUCUUUUUAGGGCCAAACCUGCAGCUUAUGGAGGUUCCCAAGCUAGGGGUCCUAUCGGAGCUGCAGCUGCUGGCCCUUGCCACAGCCACAGCAAUGCCAGAUCUGAGCCGCAUCUGCGACCUACACCACAGCUCAAGGAAAUGCUAGAUCCUUAACCCAUUGAGUGAGUCCAGGGAUUGAACCUGCGUCCUCAUGGAUACUAGUCAGAUGCAUUUCUAUUGAGCCACAAUGGAAACUCCUGGACAUUUCUUAUAAAUGGAAUUAUCUAAUAUGGGACUUUUGGUGUCUAGCUUUUUCACUCAGCAUAAUGGAUUUUUUUUUGUUUUGUUUUUUUGUUUUAUGUUUUUGGCCACAGCACGCAAGGGCUUGAUCCUGGAUCUCAGUUCCCAGACCAGGGAUUGAAGCAGGGCCAUGGCAGUGAAAGCACUAAGUCCUAACCACUAGACCACCAAGGAACUCCAAGCAUAAUGUUUUUGAGGUGCAUCCAGGUAGAGGUCUGUGUCAAAACUUUAUUCCUUUUUAUGGCUGAAUAAUAUUCCACUGUGUGGAUAUAACUACUUUUUGAAAAUCCAUUAUCCAUUGAUGGACAUUUGGCUAGUUCCCACCUUUUGCCUAUUAAGCUCAUUCUUGACUGUGGGAAGGCACAGAAGUUGUGUUUAGUUGCAUACUGUCCUCCUUCUCUUCCUUACACGUGCAUCUGUGCAUAGGGUGACCUGGCCUUAGCCCGUCACACCACAUCACCCAUUGAACGGCCACCAGGCUGUCCGGGGACAGAGCAAGCUUUGAUGGCCUUUUCUCCCCUUGAACCUGCAAGGUGCUUCUUUUCUUCAUAUCAAGAUAAAUGCUCAGGAAGUUCCCAUCGUAGCUUAGAGUAAAUGAAUCUGACUAGCAUCCAUGAGGACACAGGUUCUAUCCCUGGCCUCACUCAGCAGGUUAAGGAUCCGGUGUUUCCUUGGGCUGUGGUGUAGGUUGCAGACAUGGCUUGGAUCCUGCAUUGUGGUGGCUGUGGUGUAGGCCGGCAGCUACAAAUCUGAUUCAACCCCUAGCCUGGGAACCUCCAUAUGCUGC